CGCGCCGGCACUGGGAGUGCGCGCUGUGACCCCCAGAGGCACGGCUCGCCGGGGCGGCCCCCUCCCUCGUCCUCGAACUCCACUUUCAGCGUGAGCUAGAAACAGACACCCGAGAGGAGAGAACAGGCGCUCACAAAGAUUCCGGCGAACGGAGCCCUUCGCUCUUCUUUACUGAUCUCUAAGAAUCCGCCAUCUCCAGCCCCGACAGUACCCCUUCCUCGGUUUUCAUUCCGCAGUUCUGCGGACUCUGCUGUGGAAUACCUCCCUGCACCCCAGUUUUUCCGACGACCUUAACCUCGGCCAACGUGCGUUCCAGGGCAGGGUUGGAGCUUUGAAAGGUCAUCUGGGGAGGCUUUAGCAUCCCUCCCAACACCCCCGAAGUGAACGUACAAUCUAAGUGGAAAAUAAAAACCUGUGUGCAGUACA